UGAGAUCACAAAGCUGAAAAACAUUUGUGAUCUAUGCAUAAAUAUGCUGUUGGUUUAUAUGCUUUCUUUCAUAUUUGACUGUGUGACAGAAGCCGUUGUAUGAAGAGUUGCAAGACUGUACCCUCUGAACCAUAAGCUCCUCUGGUCCUGAUAUUUAUAAGCACUUUAAAGAUGGAAACACAGGGAGAUCAAGAAAUUGCUGUUAUCAGCUGAUUGGUACCAAAGGCCCAAUAAGAACAUCUUGCUGGCAUGAUCUUAUCUCUUGAUUGUGGCCACCCGUAAAGAAAAGCAUAUCUCUAAUCUCAGAAGCACAAGGAGUUCAUACCAGGAAACCAAGAUUAGAACAUCAUGUAUCGUCUUUCAAAAUUACUAUAUAGGAUCAGUGGAACACUGGACACUGACAGAGUGGGCCCUGCAGCCUUCACUGCUUCCUCAUGGAGGGAUUUCCAGGACGGGGGCCCUCUUUGCCUGUCUCCUCCCCUUGUGGCAAAUAUGGGUGGGGGUUGGAUCUGGGCAUGCUUACAUCAGCCCCUCCCUUGCUCGUCUCUCUUUGGAUCUUGCUUGCAGUGAGCGGGCUUUUUCUUCUUGUGUUUUGGAGGGUGGGAUCUGCGCGGAGCUGUUCAAUGCUGCCUGUGACUGGGUAUUAGUAUGCUUAGCUCAAGGUGAAGUAUAAGCCAGCUCAUGAGGCCCAGCAGUGCAUCCCCCUUUCUUCUCUGAGUUCUCCCCAGUACAAAUUUGGUGCUUGGAUCUCUUUCUGACUCCUCAGUUUAUCUGUCAAAUGGUUCCUAACUUGAGUAGGGAGAGAGGAUCAUCCCCCGUCAAAUGUACAUUAUUCAUGCACUGUAAUGGUGUAAAAGGACCCUAGACACAUGGGCUCCCUUGCUAAUAAGCGCACCUUCAAAGCGAUAUUCAUUAUUUAGCAUUUAUCGGAAGAGGCUGGCCCCAGCUCUGGUGAAGGGCAGAGAAGUGUGGGUGGCCUCACGUGUUCUCAACGUCACCAAAUGAUAGCAUUAAACAGACCCACUCCCUCAUGGAAGGCAAUCUGACGACCUUCUAUUGAUAUUGCAACAUGUGUCUCUGGCAGCAGGAUCUCAGUCCUUACGUCAGGGAUAUGGGAGGACUUCCUCCACUUCAUGUAUAUGCUUUCCCUAAGCAGAUCUGGCAGAUGCAAAUUUAUCCCUAUCUUCUCAUUUCCAAUGAAGUUUUAGUAUCCACAUCCCCUCCUGAAGACAGAAAACUUGUCUUUGUAACCCUUUUUAUUUCAGCUGAUCUAAAUAAUUAGUUCAGAUUUACCCUGACAAAUGGCUUUUACCAUUUUCAGUUUCUUACCCUGUAACAAAAUACUGCCAUCAAGUUUUGAUUAUGAAAAUGGCUGAAGGCAAGGGACCAUAUGAGAGAGUGCAAUCAACAACAUAGUCUUUUUGCCCAACAUAAUUUGACAUUUUUAGCUUAGACAAUUAAAGCACAAUGACUGUUCCUGAAAAUCAGUACAGUAGUCAUAAUAAAACUUUUUUCUUGGCUGGGCACAGUGUUGCAUGCCUGUAAUCUCAGCACUUUGGGAGGCUGAGGUGGGAGGAUCACUUGAGCUCAGAUCUUGAGACCAGCCUAGACAACACAGUGAAACCUCAUCUAUGCUAAAAAUAAAAAAAAUAAAAAAUUAGCCAGGUGUGAUGGUGUGAGUCUGUAGUCCCAGCUACUUGCUUGAGCCCAGGAGAACAAGGCUGCAGGGAGCCACGAUCACGCCACUACACUCUAGACUGGGUGACAGAACAAGAUCCUGUUUCAAAACAAAGCAAACAAAACAACUUUUUGUUUUUAAAAUUGAACUGUUUAUUGUAACUGCAGACAUUUCUAUACAAUAUUUCUUUUUAAUCUCUUGAAAUUAAAUCCUAUUUUUUAAAGAAUACACAUGAUUAAAUGAAAACAAAAAACCCCUCCAAACCCUAUUGGAUUUCCAACCUCAGCUCACAACUGACACCUUAUACAAAAGUUAACUAAUAGCAGUCUUCAACAGGCCAGGGAUGGUGGCUCAUGCCUGUAAUCCCAGCACUUUGGGAGGCUGAAAGGGGAGGAUCACUUGAGCCCAGAAGGUUGAGACCAGCAUUGGCAACAAAGUGAGACCCUGUCUCUACAGAAAACUAAAAAAUUAGCUGGGCAUGGUGAUGCAUGCCUGGAGUCCCAGCUACUCGGGAGGCUGAGAUGGGAGGAUCAACUGGGCCCAGGAGGUCAUGAUCUUGCGGCCACAACACUCUAGCCUGGGGGACAGAGCGAGACCCCAUCUCUAAAAAAAUAAAAAAAAUCUUCAACAUAAAUGUGAAUCUAAAACUAUAAAAUUUCAAGAAGGAAUCAUAGGAGAAAAUCUUUGUGACCAUAAGUUAGGUAAAGAUUUCUUAGAUAAGACAACAAAAGGGUGACCCAUAAGAGAAAAAAAAUUGAAUUGGGACUUCAUCAAAAUUAAAAACCUCUGCUCUUCAUAAUGCAAAAGAUAUAAAGAGAACACUGAAAAUACAUCUUCAUCUCUUACUUUUUCUUCCCAGUCCAAUUUCCCUCUCCAGCAUCAACCAAAUACUGUUACCAUUUCUCAAGUUCCCUCCUAAGCCAGCCCAUACAUAAUAAGCAUAUAGAUAUACACUGUGUGGUGGUUCUACUGCUUUUUUACCGAGUUUUUUUAAACACAAAACUUCCGUAUUCAGUAGAUUUAUUGGAUUAUUCAGUGUAGUCCUACACUCCCAACAGCAUUCACUGGUCAUCCACGCAGCCGAGGCAAAGUUCUUUGGAAGUAAUUAGUUUUGAAGUUUACUUAAGCAAAUAUGGAAACAAAACAUUAAAAUUUUUAAUUCGUUUGCCUUGGCUAAAACAAACAAAAAAUAUUUCCUAAGAUAUCAGCUCACUGUGUAUUAUUUAGGCCAUACUUCAUAUUUAGCUAUGUCAGCUGUGGUAUCCUGGGGGAAAGAUGUUGUCAUGUGGGGCCUCACACCAAAAUAUUAUUUGAAGUACACAGAAACCAGCUUCUUCAAUUUCUUCCAUUUCUUUGGGUAUUGUGUUUUUAAAUAAUGAAAUUCUCUCUUAAAGAAAAAUGAGGAUCUCUUUAGUCACGUUGAGGACUACAGGAAGUAUUUGCCUCAGGCUGAAUUUUUUGUUUUUUGAGACUCUGUCAUCCCAGACUGGAGUGCAGUGGCACGAUCUCAGCUCACUGCAACCUCCGCCUCCUGGGUUCAAGUGAUUCUUGUGCCUCAGCCUCCCAAAUAACCGGGAUUACAGAUGUGCGCCACCAGGCACAGAUAAUUUUUGUAUUUUAGUAGAGACAGGGUUUCACCAUGUUGGCCAGGCUGGCCUGAAACUCCUGACUUCAAGCGAUCUGCCCACCUCGGCCUUCCCAGAGUGCAGGAUUACAGGCAGUAGCCACUGCACCUGGCUCUCAGGCUGAAUUAAAAUCACCUUUCACACUCCACAGCACAACUCACUCACUCAACUAUUGGAGCGAGCAAGAAGAGUACUCCCAUCUCUCUUUUAUUAUCUUGUUUUAUUUACUUCACAGCAUUUAUUACUGAAAUGACUACAUUGAUGUGUUUCUUUUUAGACUUUCUGCCUCUGCCCCGACUCUUGCCCUGGGAGUCAGAGGGGGCUUCUGUCCAGCUGUGCAUGGCUAUGGUUGAGGAUCUGGUAUCAACAGAUCGUUCUCCACCAUACCAACUCCAUUUCUACCACUGGGAUUGGCCCUUAUUACUGUUGUCUGGUUUGUACACCCAGCAGCAGUUUUCAGACGCGAAAAGAUGAGAGAUGAGCAUUUAGAGUAAUUACCAUCAAUUCUGCAGCACUGGUUCGGGUGUAAAGGUUGUGUGUUUACCUGAUUUCACAACCUCCAGACCUGCACUGUCCCACUUUGGUAGCCGUUAGCCAAAUGUAACUAUUAAGUGCUUGAACAGUGGUUAGUCAGAAUUGAGACGUGUUAUAAGUGUCAAGUACACAGCAGAUUUAAAAAAUGUAGUUUAAAAAGAGAUUGGAAAAUGAUCUUAUGACUAGUUUUUAUAUUAUUUACAUGUUAAAAUAAUAUUUUGAAUAUAUUGGAUUAAAUAACAUGUACUAUUAAAAUUAAUUUAUUUUUCCUUUUUAAUGUGACUACUAGAAAACAAACUGCAUAUGUGGUCUUCAUUUGUGGUGGUUCACAUUCUAUUUCUACUGUACGGUACUCCUUGAGGCCUAGUUCUAAAAGUUCCCUCACUUCUCACAAGGGUUACUAUCUGUUUGUCCUACUAGAGGUUCGCCAGAUGCUCUACUGAACAGGAAUUAUACAGCAGAGCCUCAGAAUCUAAGGACUUGGUCUCUGAGGGACCAAUAUUUGGGGUAGUGGUGAUAGACUUGUCCAUGAUAGUGGCAAAAAGUUGUCCUCCAAUUUUUUACAAGUUUCCUAACUUAUUUGCUGACUUCCCAUCAAGUAAUAUUAGAAAUGAUUCUAAGCUUGCAUUUCUCAAACCUUUCCACUCUUCUAAGACAUCCACACGCGGUCAGCAUGUCUG